rnacentral:rRNA from 1 species
AAACUUUCAACAACGGAUCUCUAGGCUCUUGCAUCGAUGAAGAACGCAGUGAAUUGCGAUAAGUAAUGUGAAUUGCAGAAUCUCGUGAAUCAUCGAAUCUUUGAACGCACAUUGCGCCCUAUGGUAUUCCGUAGGGCAUGCCUGUCUGAGCGUCAGC